GAUGAACGCUGACAGAAUGCUUAACACAUGCAAGUCUACUUGAUCCUUCGGGUGAUGGUGGCGGACGGGUGAGUAACGCGUAAAGAACUUGCCCUGCAGUCUGGGACAACAUUUGGAAACGAAUGCUAAUACCGGAUAUUAUGUGAGUUUCGCAUGAAAUUCAUAUGAAAGCUAUAUGCGCUGCAGGAGAGCUUUGCGUCCUAUUAGCUAGUUGGUGAGGUAACGGCUCACCAAGGCGAUGAUAGGUAGCCGGCCUGAGAGGGUGAACGGCCACAAGGGGACUGAGACACGGCCCUUACUCCUACGGGAGGCAGCAGUGGGGAAUAUUGGACAAUGGACCAAAAGUCUGAUCCAGCAAUUCUGUGUGCACGAUGAAGUUUUUCGGAAUGUAAAGUGCUUUCAGUUGGGACGAAGUAAGUGACGGUACCAACAGAAGAAGCGACGGCUAAAUACGUGCCAGCAGCCGCCGCAG
rnacentral:rRNA from 1 species